rnacentral:rRNA from 1 species
UACGGAGGGGGCUAGCGUUGUUCGGAAUUACUGGGCGUAAAGCGCACGUAGGCGGACUCUUAAGUCAGGGGUGAAAUCCUGGAGCUCAACUCCAGAACUGCCUUUGAUACUGGGAGUCUUGAGUUCGGGAGAGGUGAGUGGAACUGCGAGUGUAGAGGUGAAAUUCGUAGAUAUUCGCAAGAACACCAGUGGCGAAGGCGGGUCUCUGGACAGUUCCUGACGCUGAGGCACGAAGGCCAGGGGAGCAAACGGG